rnacentral:rRNA from 1 species
GGAUGAGCCCGCGGCCUAUCAGCUUGUUGGUAGGGUAAUGGCCUACCAAGGCUAAGACGGGUAGCUGGUCUGAGAGGACGACCAGCCACACUGGGACUGAGACACGGCCCAGACUCCUACGGGAGGCAGCAGUGGGGAAUAUCGCGCAAUGGGGGAAACCCUGACGCAGCGAUGCCGCGUGAGUGAAGAAGGCCUUCGGGUCGUAAAGCUCUGUCAAGCGGGAAGAAUAGUUCCGGGGCUAAUAUCCCCGGGAUGUGACGGUACCGCUGAAGGAAGCACCGGCUAACUACGUGCCAGCAGCCGCGGCCG